rnacentral:misc_RNA from 1 species
UUUCUGUAGGUGAACCUGCAGAAGGAUCAUUAUUGAAUUGUUAAAAAUGGGGGAGUCUCGACUCCCUCUACAUUCUUUAUUCCUAACACCUGUGAAUCGUUGCUGAGUCCGCUCAGUGGCAACCUUUUUUUACACACACAUAAUAGUUUAGAACGUAAAACAAUAUAAUAAAAUACAACUUUUGACAACGGAUCUCUUGGUUCUCCCAUCGAUGAAGAACGCAGC